GCCGGAGUAGCUCAGUGGCCAGAGCAGUUGCUUUGUAAGCAUCGGGUCGCGGGUUCGAAUCCCGCCUCCGGCU
rnacentral:tRNA from 1 species